rnacentral:rRNA from 1 species
ACUCCUACGGGAGGCAGCAGUAGGGAAUCUUCCACAAUGGGCGCGAAGCCUGAUGGAGCAACACCGCGUGAGUGAAGAAGGGUUUCGGCUCGUAAAGCUCUGUUGUUAAAGAAGAACACGUAUGAGAGUAACUGUUCAUACGUUGACGGUAUUUAACCAGAAAGUCACGGCUAACUACGUGCCAGCAGCCGCGGUAAUACGUAGGUGGCAAGCGUUAUCCGGAUUUAUUGGGCGUAAAGAGAGUGCAGGCGGUUUUCUAAGUCUGAUGUGAAAGCCUUCGGCUUAACCGGGAGAAGUGCAUCGGAAACUGGAUAACUUGAGUGCAGAAGAGGGUAGUGGAACUCCAUGUGUAGCGGUGGAAUGCGUAGAUAUAUGGAAGAACACCAGUGGCGAAGGCGGCUACCUGGUCUGCAACUGACGCUGAGACUCGAAAGCAUGGGGUAGCGAACAGGAUUAGAUACCCU